CCAGCCGGCCGGGCGAUUGCCGAUGCGGAAACGAAAGGCCGUAUCGGAGGAAAGUCCGGGCUCCAUGGAAACACGAUGCCGGAUAACUUCCGGCUGGGGAAACGGGCCUGCCCGCCAACCCAAGGGAAAGUGCAACAGAAAGCAAACCGCCCCUGGCGCCGCGUGCGGCGGGGUAAGGGUGAAAGGGUGGGGUAAGAGCCCACCGCGCUGCCAGCAAUGACAGUGGCACGGUAAACCCCAUCGGGAGCAAGACCGAAUAGGGACAGCGCGGCGGCGCGAGCCGCCAGCCGGUUUUCAGGCCAGUUGUCCGGGUAGGUUGCAGGAGGUGUCCGGCGACGGGCAUCCCAGAUGAAUGAUCGCCGCGCCUUCCGCUUGCGGCAGGCGGCACAGAACCCGGCUUAUAGGCCGGCUGGCAAU
rnacentral:RNase_P_RNA from 1 species